ACGGUCCAAAAUCCUCAUGAAGGUUAAAGCCAAAAUCCCUCAGCCCAGCAGCAUCUUCACAACGCACGACAGCUGGAAUUGUGUGAUUCGUGACAUCGCAUCCGAAUGAGGAAAAUGACUGGCACACUGUAAAGCAUCUGAUAUUAUUCCCCCAAGAAGAAUGCUGCAACAGAACAACAACAAUAACUGCUUGGACAUGGCCCAUAGGGAGCUACUGCAUGAAUGCCGAAGAACCAAUGUCUCAUUCGCCAGUGCCCUUGAGUUUGGAGCCAUACCCCUGAUUAAAGGCCUGAGAGCAUGGGCUGUGAGUGGCGGCUACUCUAAAGCCAGACGAAAGGCCGCUAAUGGAUCUCGGGCACAGGGCACAUGCCAACAGCCUCCUGAAAACAGGCUAGGGCAGAGAAGCUGGUCAGGUCAGGUCAGCAGUGGCUAUGGGCACACAAUGGAGAGCACAAUUAGUGCAACCAGAACUCCAGGGGUCAGGCAAGGCGGUCUUGGCGCUCUUGUAACUGUGGCCACUUUGAAGGGCACUGAGGGGGGUGGUAGGCAGACUCAGACACGCUGCCUCUUUCUCAAGGCCCAGGGCAGGGGCAGCUACAUCUGUGCUGUUGGAAACCGCGGGACUGGGACGAGAGUCACGGCUCCACGGACUCACGCUGUCAUUCUUGAGGGGACAAAGGAAGAGCUUAGAUGUUCCUCUAAAGGGCAGAAGGUGAGCCAGGAUGGGCCAGACAGUGGUGGAUUGUUCAAGGCCAAGCCCAGGGCCAUACGAAAAUGGAGGAAAUGCGGUAAAACAAUGGAGAAAAGAACAGCGGCUCAUGGCAAAGGGGAAAACACUAGUCAGCGCAGUGACCAAAAAAGUUCAGUGAUUUCAGAUGCACAACCACUUAACAUAACACAAGGCCAGACGGGUAGCUAUCCAAGUCAGGACGACUUGAAGUUGAAGGGCAAAGACAAAAGGGCUCAUUCCCCCAUAUUAGUGAAAGCUGUCACACCCAAGAGCACAGAUCCACAAACCUGCUGCUCUUCUGCCAAACCAUGUGCCAAACCAGGUGAGCAGGUUGAAGAUGAGAUGAGCCUUAAUCAAUCCGAUAACUGUUCUGAAAAAGAAUUCAGUUGUGCCAAUGUGCAAGGAGACACUGAGGUCAGUAAAUGUGACCUUGAUGCAAAUGAUCGCCAGAACUUUGUUGCUGAUGUGCCAAACCUAGGGUCAUCUGUAGCAUCUGAGACUCACUCUGAUAGUCUAAGAAUCAAAUUGACCACAACAAACUGUAAUACUGAGCCAAGCAUGGAUCAUUCUCCCAUGAUAACUCCCUCCGAAGUCCCUAUCAGCAUUCAGAAGAAUCAAGAAUCCAGGCCAGACGAGCGCCUACUAGACCGUGAGAAUCUACACUCGGUGGAGCCCGGCGAUCUUGCAACACAGAGAGAUGGGACUCCAUACACAAAGAAUACAGUUUUGCCGGAGGACCGCACUCCAGUGGGUGCUGAAUGUAGCACCACAGAAAAGAAAAGUAGGCCGUCCAUGUGCUCACCUCAGCAUUGGGAGGAAUUAAUCACAAAGCAUGGAGAACAUGAAGUUCAGCAGUCUGACAAAUCCUCUUCACGAGGCUUUAGCGCAACAACAGCCAAUAUAACUGUAACCACUAUUCACUCCCUGGUUAAUCCUGCCCCUACCACCACCACAGCCAUAGCAACAGCCAUCCCAGCAUUAAGCGAGGCGGAGGCGGGGGCUAGAGGUGGAGACUUGCUGCCUCUGGUGAACUCAGAGUUGCUAUCAGAGCCAGCAAGAGUUGACGACAAGGACAAGGUGGCCGCUGACGAGGGGUCUCUUGAUGUGGGCGAGGAGGAGGAGGAGGAGUUUGGGGCAUUCAUGCAGGCAGGUGGAGAGCAGCUGUGGACGGAUGGGUUCAGUGAGGUCCAACAGUUGGCUGAGGAUUACAACUGUGAGGAACACACAAGUUCUGCUGAUGCAAAUGAACCCGCAUCCUGGGCAUCUGAUUGGACUGCAGUCCAGUCAUUCCAGCAGUCAGAGAGCACAUGGACUGCCUUCAGCCAGGAGACUGUGGAGCAGAAGAUAGUGCCUGGUGGCCAUUGGUGGCCUUCUACCGAAAAACCAAACCUUCCUCUCUCUCCUCUCCAUAAUGUGUCAAAUGUGUUUCUAGAGGCCUUUCCCUCAGAAAAGUCCCCCUGUGAAGAUCCUGAAUACAUUCCUACACUAAAGCAGCUUCUGCAAGGACCAGCUGAAAACAGCAAUACAGGGGAGCACAAGGAGCAGAGCUUACUUGAUGGCCUCCAGGAUCUAGACCGGAUGAUUGGUGUGAAAUAUAAGAGGGCGGAGUCUCUGUCCUGUAAACUUCUCCUUCAGUCACUGCAUUUGCAACGUCCCAGCUCUGUGAGUCUGCUGUAAUGAAAUAUAAAACCACUGCAAUAAUAUAUAAUGAAAACUUCCUGGUGAGCGUUUGCUACAUCAAACACUUGUAAUAUUAUUUGAAAUAGCAAAUGGAUUUCUAUACUCUACAUUGACCAUAAAUAGAGCUUGGUACUGGAAACACAAGUUAAGUGCAUGUUUUAAAUAACCAUCAUCCUUUCCACCUCAGGAAUGUGCGACAGUUCGACUGAAGACCAGUGCCAGGUUUUCUCCAAAUCUCCCAACGUCCAACCAGCAAUUAGCUGCAAAUGCUAAGAGAAGACUGUCAUAUGACUUCAACAGAAAUAUUAUGACCUAGUCUCUAUAUCUGCCGAAACAUCUUUGACCUAUGCUUCCUUGAAAACAGGAAAUACAGGACAGAGGAAAAAUACAUGCUGAAAAACUGAGUUUCCAUAGAUCGACUUCUAUUCGAGGUUUAUUUAAAGUGUAUUUCUUCUUUCAGUGUCUGGUAGAUUCUGUUUCUCAUUCAGCUGUGUAUCAAGACACACUAGACCCAUGUUUAACCAAAUAUAUGUUUUUUAGGACAAAUAUAAAAAAUGUCAAGUUAAAAACCCCUUUGCCAAAUUGUUCGGUCCAGUUAUUGGAGUCUGGUUAUUGGACCCAUUUUGAUAUAACUGAUAUAUUCAGAUGAAAAUAUGUCAGUAUGUAUUUGUGUAUUACUUUCAAUCAUUGCUAUGGAUUUUAUUUGUUAGAAUAAGAAUAUUUUUCUGGAGUCAUAGCAAACCAGUUAGUGCACAUUCUCACAGGCAUGUAGAUUCAUAUCUGGCCUGUCACAUCCUGAACCACGUCCCAAACUUUCCUUUCUACUGUCUCACAUGACGUACUGUACAAUUGAAUAAAAAAAUAAUAAUGUGAUUUUAGGGGGAUUAGGAUCAACUCUAGCUCCCCGCGCAAUCUCUCCUUCACCUGUCUGAAACUGUCAAAGCAAAUUUCCACAAAAUGUAUUUUCAUACACCACCUCACACAGAAAUCAAUUUUCUUGUUUCCAUGUCUUUUUUCCCUGUGCUUGAAGUACUAAAUAUAACACUGUAGUGUACCAUUUUUAACUGCUGACGAAUAGAGACCAUAUUUUCAGAAGUGUUUUAAAAUGAAUGUCGACAUUUUAAAUUGAACCUGUAAGCUUGUUUGUUGAUUGAUGUAAUUAAAACAUCUUUGAAUGACUGAAUGAAGUGGAUAACUGGGGGAUCAACC
ensembl:lncRNA uncharacterized LOC107692501